GGGAACUGCAAAAAAGAUGACUGGCUGGUCUAGGACUUUAAUCAUCAGUUACCUGAAAGGAAAGAAAUGGGUUUACAUCAAGUAUUGUCCAUCAAGCUAUGGGUUCCAAAAUAUGAACUUGGCUUCCCACACAGGAUUAAAUACAACACAAUCCUUAUUAUUGAAUAAAACAUCUACAAGCAGCCUGGAAACCACUGUUAAAAUACUUAAACAUUAACCACCCUAUGUUUGGUGACUAACGAAGCUUUGGUGGAUCAGUUAAUAAUUUCAAAAGACUCAGGUAAGAUAAAGAGACUGCUAAUAUUUUA
ensembl:lncRNA